GACAGAGGGUGCAAACGUUGCUCGGAAUCACUGGGCGUAAAGGGCGUGUAGGCGGGAAGGAAAGUCAGAUGUGAGAUCCCUGGGCUCAACCCAGGAACUUCAUUUGAAACUCCCUUUCUUGAGUGUCGGAGAGGAAAGCGGAAUUCCUGGUGUAGAGGUGAAAUUCGUAGAUAUCAGGAGGAACACCGGGGGCGAAGGCGGCUGUCUGGACGACAACUGACGCUGAGACGCGAAAGCGUGGGGAGCAAACGGG
rnacentral:rRNA from 1 species